AUACUUCUCUCUUUUUAGACUUCUAGAUUGCACAAGUAGAACGAUCUGCUCUAGUUUAAACAAGUUGGGAUCCAUCAAUAUAAUAGGACUUUGUUUGCAUUUCACCUAGCUUGUAACCAAUAUCCUUAUUGCUAAUUUACCUCAAGUUUAUCUAACAUGGUUGAAAUGAGUGCUGUAAAGUUUCAUGUCUAAGCUCAAUUUUUAUCCUAAGUCCUGAAGUAAUUAUUUUGGUUACAUCAUAGUUUGCUGAGAAUAUUAACUUGAACAUUGUAUGUAUGCCCUGAUGCAUGUACACACACAGUUCAGCAAAUAUCGAGCUGCAGCGAAACAACCUGAGCUAGAGAACAUCAAGGAUAAGAUCAAGGAAGUUCUUGCCUUGUUGGCAACAUUGUGAGGUUCGUGCAUCAUUAGGAUUGCUUGAGUGAUCUCAGUAAUGUCAUUGUGAUGUUCCUAACCUCCCUCUUUUCGCUAUCCAGAUCAUGACCAAGCAUGACAAGAAGGGAGGCUCGUCAACCACCUACCAGCACACCUAUCAUGACCGAUGAUGAGACGCUAAAGUUGCACUUCUUGUUUGUACAUUCCUUGCAUGGUUGGUGUCAUGGAGAUAUGCAUGUGCCAUGUGUUGUAUGACCUCUCUGUUUUUGUUUCUUGUCAUAUGUACUUAUCCGUUGGCUUGUCCCUGAUGUAAUACCCACAUGGACUAUCAUACUGCUGGUUGGCUAACAAAUUGCAUUGCAAAUAUAUUGUUCUUCAUCGCCUAAUGCUUUUGGUUGCCGAUAACAGGACCUAUAGUUAGUAAACCUGCAAUUAGCAAGUUAUGUUUAUGGUCUAUCAUGCUGAAAUACAAAAAAUGUUUUGUGUCACAUGCUUAACAGACUUUGAACUAUAUACCUAGUUCAGCUAUACAGAAAAAUGCACCUGGUUCUUUAACACAUUGAACUAUUCAUCCUACCUGCUCAAACUACCAUCAGUAUCCAACAAACGGCUAUGGAAAUAAUUUUUGCCAUCAAUCCUUUAUUUUAAACAAGUAUUAAUAUUUUGGUAGGACAAAAAGUUGCAAAUUAUGAUGAUGGUUUAUGUUCCUUCUUUUAGGUUACGAGAGAUCAUGCUGGAGAGAUGCCCUUCCUGUAGGUCUGCACAUAAGCGGAAGUUCCUGGGUAUGCAAGAUUUGAUGGUUAAACUGGUUGAUGUGAUGUGAAUGAGUGUAUGGAAACUGGUUGUUGUGAUGUGAAUGAGUGUCUGUAGUUUCACGUGUUUUGUUCUGUAUAGCAUAUUGUAAUAAACUUAUUUUAGCUGUUAUUUGAAGAUUUUCAUAUGCUUUCUCUCUUCUGUCUGUUUGAUAUAUACAUAUAUAUUGCUUAUUAAUAAGAUGUGAAAAAUCUGACAUUUGGGACCCAUUUGUAAACUGGAGCUGGGAAAAAAAGCUGGAAAUAAAAAAUAAAUUGACUGCAAAAUGUUGUGCGCUAGAAAAUAAAAAGGCCAAAUUGUAGGCCAGGCCCAUGUAGCUAACCGAAAUUAACAUAAAAUACAUAUAUUAAAAGGGCUUGCCUAAAAAAAUACAUGGGCCAAAUUACUGGGUCAGACCCAUGUAGCUAAUAAAAGCACAGGAAAAAAAUACAUUAAAAAGGACGAAUUGUUGGGCUAGGCCCAUGUAGAAAAUCGAAUUGGACCGGGCUGAUUCUUGUGCCACAUCAGAUUGCCAUGUCGGAUGCCUACGUGGCCUGGGGAGCCUGUUAGUGACCAAAACAAAACAAUAGGCAUAUUUUGGUCAUAAAUGUCUACGACCUUCGUUAAUUUCAGUUUACGACCGCCAGCUUUUGACCUUCUGUUUUUGGUCACAAAAAGGUCGCAAAUGAAAAACAAUGACCUUUCAGUGACCAAUAGUCAAGGUCACAAGUUGACAUAUUUCUUGUAGUGGCACCACGGCGGUGGAUGACGGCGAGGCCUAGGAAGGGGAUGACACGGAGGCAUGGAAGACUCGGCAGUUGUUUCCCACGCGGAGGGGAGUACGACUGUAUGAGGGUUUACUGGUUCCUCUGCCGUCGCCGGAGAAUAACAACGGGUGUGGGUGAGUAGAGGGAUGGCUAGGCCAGCGAUGGGAGUACGGUGGGGCAGUGAGGCCUACGCGGCAGCACAGCCGGACGCGGGGAGGAGGGAGCAGGCAGUCCCGUCGGCGCUUGUUUGAGUGGCUGGAGCAGGAAGAGCAGAGAAGCACGACGGCCGUUGGAUAGACAUCCAACAGUCAGUGCUUGUGCGUCAACCUUUUUUUAGGAAAGGCUCAAAUCUGUGGAAAACAGCAUACAGCCCAUCUGCCAUUAUUUCUAAUAAUUUAAAGGCCAUUUGCUAAUUCUUAAGGUUUUUUUGGAGCCCAUAUUCUUUCUGUUAGCAUUACAGACCAUAUUGUGGCCAUGGUUAAAAAGUUAUACGAAAUUUUGCAUAUUUCGGUGCGGUCCAAACUGUUUUUAAUCCGGAAAUUUCGACUCACAUUCAAACUGAUUUUAAAAAUAAAUGUAUAUGAAUAUAAAUCCAACAAAUUCUCCACGCAUAAAAAUUAAUGUAAUUUAAAAUCUUGAAAUGAAAAAAAAAGAUAUUUGAAACUAAUUGUCGGUUUGAUGUGUUUUAAAAAUGUACAACCCAUUUCUCAUUACUGAUGGGCCAUUUUCUCGGCCAGCCGAAUGAAAACUCUCCUCGUCUUGAAAGAUUUGCAGCCCAACAGGCCUGACAAAGUGACUUACUUGGCAAAUCACAAAAAAACUGGGCUGUGGCCGUGGACCCAGCUGUCAGCCUCUCCACGUACAGUACUCUUCCGAUGGAAGUCGUUCCUUGACCACGUUGACCACGCCGCGCGGAGAGCACCAUGGCGGUGGACGACGGCGAGGCCUAGGAAGGGGACGACGCGGAGCCGGGGAAGAUGCGGCAGUGGAAGCCCGCGCGGAGAGGAGUACGCGUACGAGGGUUCACUGGUUCGGCUGCGGUGUGAGGCUGCCGUCGCCGCAGGGCCUGGCCAGCAAUGGGAACAGUAGGGGGUGGUGAGGCCUCUGUGGCAGCACAGCCUGCCACGGGAGGCAGGAGCAUGCGGCACGACCGGCGCUGCUUUGGGCGGCCGGAGCAAGAAGACCAGAGGUUGAAGAAGCACUACGGCCGUUGGAUGGACAUCGUGCGGUCACUGGAGUUAGAAUCAUUCAUAUUGACUAAGUUGACAAAGCCCUUCGUCCCCGUCAACUUAGUAGGCCCACAAGUCAGCCUCCCACCAAGGUGGGUCCCAGCUAGCCAGGGGAGUAUUCAUUUUUUUGUGCGUAAUAAGGAGGCACUUCCGGUGGGUCCGAGCUGACAGCGGGGGAACGUUUUUUUCACGAAAUAUGGUGGCCCGUCCGGUGGGUCCGAGCAGUCAGGGGGAAACGAUUUUUUCGCAAAAUACUGGUGGCCCGUCCGGUGGGUCCCCGCUGUCAAGUGGAGGAAUAAUUAUUUUCCGCGUAAUAAGUAGGCACUUCCUUGCGGCUGCCGUGGACCCAGCUGUCAGCCUCUCCACGUACAGUCCACAUCCGAUGGAAGUCGUUCCUUGACCACGUUGACCACGCCGCGCCGAGAGCACCAGGGCGGUGGACGACGGCGAGGCCUAGGAAGGGGACGACACGGAGCCGGGCAAGACGCGGCAGUGGAUGCCGACGCGGAGAGGAGUACAAGCGUUCACUGGUUCGGCUGCGGUGUGAGGCUGCUGUCACCGCAGAAUAACAGGGGUGUGGGUGAGUGGACGGAUGGCCUGGCCAGUGGUGGGAGUAGUAUGGGGGCGGUGAGGCCUCCGCGGUAGCACAGCCGGCCACGGGAGGAAGGAGCAGGUGGCACGACCGGCACUGCUUUGGGCGGCUGGAGCAAGAAGACCAGAGGUUGAAGAAGCACUAUGGCCGUUGGAUGGACAUCAUACGGUCACUGGAGUAUUGACUAAGUUGACAAAGCCCUCCGUCCCCGUCAACUUAGUAGGCCCACAAGUCAGCCCAACAAUAUGGUGGGUCCCAGCUAGCAGGGGGUAUUCAUUCUUUUGGGCAUAAUAAGGAGGCACUUCCUUGCGUGCGAAGAUAUAGCUGGUGAGUCCGACCUGUCCGCGGAGGAUACGUUUUUUUCGCGAAAUACAGAGGCCCUUCCUGUGGGUCCUAGCUGUCAGGUGGAGGAAUCAUUAUUUCGCGCAUAAUAAGGAGGCAUUUCCUUGCGUGUGGCCGUGGACCCAGCUGUCAGCCUCUCCACGUACAGUCCAGUUCCGAUGGAUGUCGUUCAUUGACCAUGUUGACCAGGCCGCGCCGAGAGCACCAGGGUGGUGGAUGACGGCGAGGCCUAGGUAGGGAAUGACACAGAGCCAGGGAAUACUCGGCGGUUGUUUCCCACACGGAGGAGUACGAGGGUUUACUGGUUUGUCUGCCGUCGCCGGAGAAUAACAGCAUGUGUGGGUGAGUAGAGGGAUGGCUAGGCCAGCGAUGGGAGUGCGGUGGGGCCGUGAGGCCUGCGCGACAGCAUAGCCGGCCACGGGAGGAGGGAGCAGGCAGUCCCACCGGCGCUUGUUUAAGCGGCUGGAGCAUGAAGAGCAGAGAUUGAAGAAGCAUGACAGCCGUUGGAUGGACAUCCAACAGUCACUGCUCUCAUGUGUUGACUAAGUUGACAGGGCGUUGCGUGUGCGUCAACAUUUUUUUAUGAAAGCAUACGCGUCAACCUGUAGUAGGCGCACAAGUCAGCCUCAAAUCUAUGGAAAACAUCAUACAUCCCAUCUGCCAUUAUUUCUAAUAAUGUACAGCCAAUUUGCUAAUUCUUAAGAUUUUUUUUGGAGCCCAUCUUCUUUUUGUUAGCAUUACACCCCAUAUUGUGGCCACGGUUAAAAAGUAUACGAAAUUUUGCAUAUUUCAGUGCGGUCAACUAUUUUUAAUUCAGAAAUAUCGAUUCACAUUCAAACUAUUUUGAAAAAUAAUUUAUAUAAAUAUAAAAUCCAAACAAUUGUCCACGCAUAAAACCAAUGGAAUUUAAGAUCUUGUAAUGAAAAAAAAAAUUGAAACUAAUUCCCGGUUUGAUGUGUUUUAAAAAUGUACAAGCCAUUUCUGGGCAAACCAAAUGAAACUCUCCUCGUCUUGAAAGAUUUGCAGCCCAGCAGGGCCGAUAAAGCAAGUAGGCCUUGUUUGGGUAUUUCUUAAAAAAUAGAACUGGGCAAGCCAUUUUCAGCAAGAAAAAAAUACAACUGGGCUCAUGAUGUGGUAAACAUAAAUAAAACCCUGGAUAGAUGGGCCACAACCCCCGCACAGCCUCGUUGUUACCCUGAUCCUUCGCUAAAACUAGUAUAAAUAACAACUGCUUGUUCCUCAAAAAAACUGUGCGACUUGCUGGGUCCCUGGUGUCAGCCACUCAUAGUGUAAUUCUCUCGUUUAUUGACUAUGUUGACAAUGACGUGAGCCCCAGAUGUCCAACCAUUAGGAGGAACCAUAUUUUUGGGCUUGUACUAUAGAGGCACUUGCUUGCGUACUGCCAUGACGCUGGUGGGUCCCUACUGUCAUCCUCUCCACGUACAGUCAUCUCCUUGUUCCUCUUGGUUGUUGAUGACGUUGACAAUGUAAGAGGGCGGCGCAUCGCGCGCACGGCGAGCGAACCAAGGCCGCAAGGCGGAGGACAACGGCGAGGCCUCGGACGGAACGAACAGGAGCCGUUGAAGAUGCGCCGGUCCAGUCGCAGGCAGAGGGGAGUAUGAGGGUUGACUGGUUCGGGCGCGGGUGCGUGUUGGGGCUGACGUCACCGGAGAAUAACAGGACGUGUGGGGGAAUAGAGGGAGGGACUGGCCAAUGUUGGAGGGUACAUACGGUAGGGCGGCGGAGGCGCAGCCAGCCAUGGGAGGCGGGAGCAGGCGGAGCCGACGGGGUGGUUUGGUUUGGGCGGCUGGAGGAAGGAGAAGACAAGAGAUAGAAGAUACAUGAGAGAUGUUGGAUGUCAAUCCAAUGGUGGUAGGCAGAACCGUUUGUUGACUGGCUAUUUCCUCGCGGGUCCCAAAUGUCAGAAUCCAAAUUUGUCACGGUCAUGCAGCCUUUAAUAUGAAAAUUUACAGCCCAUUUGAUGUGCUAGUUCGAAAUAAGUUUGUGGGUGCUGGUGAGGGCUAAUAACUUGGCUUCUGUAAUGCACAGUGAGCUCAAGCAGCCGACGAGAGUGAGGUUAUUUCCCUUGGUUGGGAUUUGUUACAAUAUUUCACUCUAAAUUAAACGAAUGGCAAGCCAUUUGCCUUGUUACAAAGAAAAUAUGACAGUCACAGCCGAGUUUAAAAGGGCAAGAACAUCUAACUCCAGCUUACAAACUGUACAAAAGCACGAGGGUUAAUUGUUCAUCAGGUUUACAAAAAAAAA
rnacentral:lncRNA from 1 species